ACGGAGGGUGCAAGCGUUAUCCGGAUUCACUGGGUUUAAAGGGUGCGUAGGUGGGAAGGUAAGUCAGUGGUGAAAUCCCCGAGCUUAACUUGGGAACUGCCAUUGAUACUAUCUUUCUUGAAUACCUUGGAGGUGAGCGGAAUAUGUCAUGUAGCGGUGAAAUGCUUAGAUAUGACAUAGAACACCAAUUGCGAAGGCAGCUCGUUACACGAAUAUUGACUCUGAGGCUCGAAAACGUGGGGAGCGAACAGGA
rnacentral:rRNA from 1 species